AGUAGCUGUGGAAGAGCAUCUGAAAAGUUUGUUCACCAAAACUAGUUUUUACCUGCUAUUGGAUAAAAAAUUAAAACUAUUGCUUCUCAGUUUAGAAACAAAAAUUCUUUGGGUUUCCCAUUUCCCAGUGUUUUUGCCAAUUUGAGAAAGGUACCAAUGAUACCUAUUUAAAGGGAUAAAGAAUGAUGAAUAACAGGAAACGAAAUCUUCAAAAAGGAAACAGGCUUUUUUUAAUUAAACACAGAACUGAAAGGGUAAAUUUAAAAUCCAAGCAGUAAGUCAAAACAGGCUAUUAUUCAUGUGUCAAAGUUUGAAAUGAAAAAUAUGGAUUGGCUCCAGUAACAGUUUUUUUAUACCACAUUUAUCCUUGAUAGAGAUGAGGGUGAACCACAGGAGAAGGAUGCCACUUCAGAAGUAACAGCCAAAUGUGACGUUGUCGCCAGUAACCCAUAAAUUAUACAUGGAGAAUUGCUGCUUGUUUAAUCUUAUACUCAGAGCCAAUCAAUAUGUUUUCUAGUUUGCACUGAUGGAAGUUCACAGGCACUCCUGGGUACCUUAGCAGCACGUUUUGGGUGAGCAUUGCCUCUGCUGCUAAUUCUCUACUUCUGAUGACCCACUUCUGACUCUGCACUGAAUUUUCACAUCGCUGUGGUAUGAAUCACAUCAGUAAACAAGUCUUUCCUGGAUUUGUGAUGAAAUGCCUGGGAAAAAAAAGAUUAUUAAUUUGCUGUGCUGUGCUCUCCGGCAUAAGCCCAACACAUUUCUCUGCCUCUGGUCUGCCAUGUAGUCCCAAUGCAGAGAAGAAGCUGUGCUGUACCACCCAGCAGGACCCUGAUCUUCCAGUGAGAUCCUGUCCAAUCCUGCUCUUUGAAGACACUACAUUUUCAUCCUCAACACCAAGAAGAACUGGGUUGGACUAG
rnacentral:lncRNA from 1 species